UACAGAGGUCUCAAGCGUUGUUCGGAUUCAUUGGGCGUAAAGGGUGUGUAGGUGGCGCGCUAAGUCGGGUGUGAAAUUCGGAGCUUAACUCCGAAACUGCAUUCGAUACUGGCGUGCUUGAGGACUGGAGAGGAGACUGGAAUUCAUGGUGUAGCAGUGAAAUGCGCAGAUAUCGGGAGGAACACCAAGGCGAAGGCAGCUCGCUGGACGUUACUGACGCUGAGACGGCGGAAAGC
rnacentral:rRNA from 1 species